CGAGCCCCGCCACCAUUGGCGCCACUGCCGCCCUCCUCUCCCCGCCGAUCCCGCUCGCCCCGCGCUGCACCCCGCUCUCCCCGCGCCGUGUCGCGCCCCGCUGCGCUCGCCCCCGCGCCAGCGCUUUUCUGCUGAAUUUAUUAUGGAUGGCUUUGGGCCUACAAGCUUGCUACCAAGUUUUCUGAAGCGGAAUUGGGGCGAAUUCCUUUGAUUUGCUCCUUUUUUGCCCCUUUAAUUGUAGAUGUGACAAAAUUGGGCAGCAAGCUAAAUGUGCACAUAGCUUUCAUGGUUUUCAAUCUGAACAAUCAUGUGGCUCAAUCUUCCAUUGUUUUUUGAUUUCAAGCAGGUCUUGUAGAAGCCCUGUCCAGUAAGCAUUUCUUCACUCUUGUGCAUUGCACCAAUGGGGUGUAUAUUCAUUUUUGUGUGUGUUCAUUCUGCUAUGGAUAAAAGAUUUCGUCGUAUUAUUUUUCGCACCGAUACGCGCUCGUUAUUUAUUGUUGUGUGUAUUCCUUUCAGGAAUCGAACAAGGAACAACGACGCGGCGGUGCAGGAUGGACGGAGGACUUUGAACAACGGGAAGUGGCCCCCAAGAUAUAGGUUGAGGUCUGAAUCCAAAUCUCCGUUUCUGUCAUCCAAACAUCCAAAUUAUCGAAGGUAAGAGUUCUCCACAAAUCCACGGCUUUCGGGGCCGUAGUUAUUUUGUGAGAAGCGGGGCAAUGUACGACCAGCAAAUCCAAAUGGGAUCCUCUUGCCCUCAACAUUCUGCUGUCCGACGCAAGCGGUCAUCUGUGAAAUAUUAAUGAAACUGCCUUUUGAGUCUGCAGUGACCAUAGCUUUCUAAUUAGUGCCAUCAGACAAACUCUUCUUAGCACUACUACCAGCAUCAUCACGCGCCUUGUUAAGAACCUAGCAUGGAGAAACGAAUAUGUCAAAACAGGUCUACCAAAAAAAACUGAUGAUGAAAUCACCAAACACUGUCAUUCAGAACUACCUGAUUCACUUGAUUUUCAAAUGAUUCCAUCAUUGUGCGUCCUGGCUCAGGUUCCAACUUCUUGUUAUGCGCUUUUUUGAUAAGCUCAUCCACAUCAGUCUUAGCUUUUGAUAUUGUGUCACUUAUCUUCUUCAUCGUACCUGCAUGUGCAAUCGUAUCCCUGCGGUCCAUGUAAUAUUUCAAAUUUUGUGUUGCUUUCUCACAUUACUCCAACUUCUCUACUUUUUACUCAAUGAUCAAAUGAAUUUCCCCUGGGCUGUCUGAUCUACCGAGUGCUUGCAGGUUUCUUGAAUUGGAAGGAUCUUGUUGGCAGUAGAGGUUAGGGCCUCAGGGGUAGUCCACAAAUCAUGUUCGGAACAACUUAAAAGCUAAAUAUUUUUUUUAACUUAAAGCUAAGUGUUUCUAGCAUAUCUGUAACCCUUCUCGCCUAGUUUGUUUACUGAAAAUGAACUGAUCUCUAUGAAACGCUUUUGAUCAAAAAGUCAAUAA